GCUGAAGAAGAGGAAAAUAAAGAGAAGAAAAGGGAGAGAGAAAGGAGGCAGACCUAUUCCUUCAUAGAUGGGAGGCCUACAUCAUGCCAAAACUCAAAGCUGUAGCUGCUAUGGAACCAAGGCUGCGCACUCUUUUGAAAGGGAUUGAAGACAUGACCGAAGAUGAGGCUUGUUACACAAUGCUUGUGUUGUUAACACACCUACUACCCCCUGUUGGUGCCAGUCGUUGUAGCGCCAAGACCACAAUAACGUACCUUCUGGAUUUUGUGCCGCCUGGAACAAGAGUAGCAUCGCUGUGCAGUGAUUCCUCUGCUCCAUCAACGAAUCAUCAGCCCCAGCUGAUCUGCAUCGGUGACCUGCGGUCAUUUAGGCAGUAUCGUUGCCAAGAAUGACAAAGUCACCAUCCCUCUAGAUGAUGGUCUCACGUGUGCUGUGGACAAGCUUUUCAAACUCUACUGGGUCUGUAACUUUUCUUAUCCACCACAACUCUGCCCUGUCUUUACAUUCUUUGAGUACAUCUACGAUCUACCAUUCUCCACACAAAGAAAGGCAAAAGUGCUAGAACUGAUUGCACAAUUUAAAGCUUGCAAGUAAAAUGUACAGUUGUCCAAAAUGCAGAGGGACUGGUUUCAAAGAGGUGAAAAACCUCAUAUGGCACCUCCGUGAAAUACAUUGCUUAUCAGAUGGACAGAAUACAAAACUUAUAUGUGGUCAAGACAGUUGUCCAAGGACAUAAAUUGCGUGACUAUUAUGAUGGGUCACAUUUCUCUACACAUCCGUUGUUUCAAAAGUCCCCCAAUGCUUUGCAGCUACAACUGUACUUUGAUGACCUGGAAACAACAAACCCCUUGGGUUCAAAAACAAAAAAACAUAAGCUAGGAGCUAUGUAUUUUACCAUAAGGAAUUUGCCAACCAGCUGCAAUUCAUCACUUGCCAAUAUUCAUCUAUGUCUUCUUUUCAACUCAAUUGACAGAGAGGUAUAUGGAUUUAA